rnacentral:rRNA from 1 species
UACGUAGGUGGCAAGCGUUGUCCGGAUUUACUGGGCGUAAAGAGCGCGCAGGCGGUCGUUCAAGUCGCGUGUGAAAGCCCCCGGCUUAACUGGGGAGGGUCACGCGAUACUGAUCGACUCGAAGGCAGGAGAGGGUAGUGGAAUUCCCGGUGUAGUGGUGAAAUGCGUAGAUAUCGGGAGGAACACCAGUGGCGAAGGCGACUACCUGGCCUGUUCUUGACGCUGAGGCGCGAAAGCUAGGGGAGCAAACGGG